rnacentral:sRNA from 1 species
GCUAAUAAGGCCCUGCCAGGCUGGGAGGGAAUUGUCCCUGCCUGCUUCUGGAGAGAGAAGAUAUUGACACCAUCUACGGGCACCAUGGAACUGCUUCAAGUGACCAUUCUUUUUCUUCUGCCCAGUAUUUGCAGCAGUAACAGCACAGUUACAUAAGAGCAAAACAUGUGUGUGCCUAGUCACUAGCACACCCUGUCAAAAGCAGAGAGCAGGUGGAGCUGAGGUAUGUA